GGGCACAGAUGUAAAACAAAUUAUUAAUAACCUCUAUCUGUUUUCUGGUUGCUGCAGUUAUUUUUGGGUCCCAUCUCUUUCCUGCAUCACCUGAGUUUUACCACUGAGGCAACCAGAUUGAUAAAAGCCCCUCUGCAAAGUUGUUUAAACCCAGAAUUAAGUGGAAUAAGGAGAAGUGUUGGGAAGCAGCAGUCAUUGAUUUCAGGACCUGCACUUUGCAAUCCAUGAUGAGGAGAGGAGCUGGCCCUGGUGUGCUGUGACCCUGCAGUGCAUGGGUGCAGCUCCUCAGCAGAGCACGUUCCUGCCUAGAAAACAGCACCCUCUGGGAAGCUGGAGACCAAAGGGCACCCUCAUCUACAAGGAGCUCAGGUGUCUCUGGCUCCCCUCACCAUCAAUCUGAGCCUCUGAUCAGCCUGAGCCCUGCACCACUGAGGCCUUGGACAUAAUUUGUGGCAGCAUCUUCUGGAGAAUCCUGUAAUAAUGGAUGUUCGGUUUCGGCAACGAGGCGCUGAUUACAGAAAUAAUCGAUGCCAUUGAGAGAAAAGAGCCUGUCCGUGCCAGGUCCUUCCCUGCUCUGAGCCGGCGCUCAGGUCCCCGCGGCCCCGGGAGAGGGACACGGGAGCAGAAGGGAUGCUCGCCCCACGGGCAAGGAGAAUUCCUUUCCUGGACGCCUCCUCCUUCCCUGAAUGCUCGUCACACGGCUGUGGGAAGGCGGCAGGGUCCUCGGCUCCGGCAGACAUCCCUGUUCUGCUCGCGGUUAUCCCUGGAGAAGGAUGGGGACCAGCACAUUCCCAUCUCUCAGCCAGAAUUGCCCUGGAAAAUAAAUCCUCCCUUGGGAAUGGGUUGCUGCCAAUCUCAUGUGUCCUGAAGUGAAAGAUCUGUGCAGGUUACAUGAGCACCUCCUGAUUUCUAACCUCAUCUCAUGCACUUUGAGGAGGUCUGAUUUUUUUUUUUUUUUGGCUCUUAGAACUGGCAUUAUUGCUUCCAGCAAGAAAGAAUCAUUGAAAUGGACAUUUUCAAGCAGAUUUUGGAAAGGGUCAUAAUGUCUUUGAAAGAAAGAUGGAUGUUUGGUUUGGAUGAAGGCUCAUAAAUUGUCUGGGGGAAGGGUGCAUCUACUGGGAAAUAUGAAUGUGGGUAAAACAUUUGCACAAUCUUCUGUUUGCAGAGUUAUCAAAGCUUCCAGAAAUGUUGCUUUUAGGACUUGCAGUGUAUAUUCAACUCUUCCUUCAGCAAAUAAUUUUGUCUUUUAUUCUUAUUUGCUAAGUAGUUGGCUUG